rnacentral:rRNA from 1 species
UACGUAGGGGGCAAGCGUUGUCCGGAAUUAUUGGGCGUAAAGCGCGCGCAGGCGGUUUCUUAAGUCUGAUGUGAAAGCCCACGGCUCAACCGUGGAGGGUCAUUGGAAACUGGGGAACUUGAGUACAGAAGAGGAGAGUGGAAUUCCACGUGUAGCGGUGAAAUGCGUAGAUAUGUGGAGGAACACCAGUGGCGAAGGCGACUCUCUGGUCUGUAACUGACGCUGAGGCGCGAAAGCGUGGGGAGCAAACAGGAUUAGAAACCCCAGUAGUCC